UUUUAAAAAUCUUUGGUGCUUUAUAUUGUUUGUCUUAUAAAUUCUAGGACUAUAGCCAACAGGUCAUAAAAUAAUAUGUCUAAUUAUGUUAAAUGAGGUAUAUUGAUUUAAUAUAUUUUUAAAAUGAUCCUUACUUGUUAUUUCACUUAUCCUAAAACAGUUAUAUUUAGGAAGCCGUGGAACUGAUAACUAACUUAAAAGAUAAUCAGAUGAGAAGGUGUGAAGUGAAAAGGAGAAAUCCAAGACCUGGGACCUAGAUAUAUUUUAGGCCUGAGGAAUGAAGUGCUUGGUGAAAUGGAAAGAAAGAAAAACACAGACAUUAUCUGUGUGCAUGGCUUCUAAACUUAGCAUCAAAGCAAGAAUCCGAUUCUUCUCUCCAUUGCUUAACUGCUGUCCGCAGAGGCCAUUAUGUCUUUUGAGCCCAUUAAAUACCUGUGGCUUAGCCUGGCUGAGUAUAUAGCAGUGGAAGAAUAGGAAAAUUUAAAAACAACCCAGCAAGAAGAAGAAGGGGUGAACUGAGAAUUUUGUUUCUGUACUUCAUGACUUACAACAUGGUGCUAUUGACAGUCAGGAAUGACUUUCAAGGUGACAUUGACUCAGCUUAAUGUUUACAUCAGUAUCUAGUUUCCCAUGUACUUAUUACAGUUUUUAAAAAUAGUUAACAUUUGUCUUCAUUGUCAAAUAGUAAUCUUAUCAAUUUGCUGAAUUUAAUUUUUAAAGAUUUGAUCUACUUAAAGUUUUUGUUUAUGAAAACUUAGCUUUGAAGUAAGUAUGCAACUCUUAGUAUCUCAUUGGGUAGAGAAUGUAUUUAACUAUACGUUUUGUAGUAAAGAUGUGCUAUAUGGUUAAGACCUGCUUACUUUAAAAAAUUAAUGAUUUACUCCUAUGAUAAGAUAGAAGCUGAAAAGUUUAUAAUGAUGGAUGCCCAUAAAUAUAUUAAUGCAGACUGACAGUGAGUCAUGCAUUUAACAUCAGUUUGUUCCCUUUGGAAAUUGCAUUUAUGUUUAACUGUGCAACAGACUUCUCAGCUAAAGAGAUCUCUUUUCUUUCCCCUCCCUCGCUUCCUCCUCUCUUCCUUUCUUCCAGGACACAAUUGGACUUGAUAUAGUUCCUUGUGGGUAUUUAGUCACCUAAAUUCUGGAGUAGGUUAGUGCAGUAAGAUUUUUAUUACAAUUUAAAAUAAGUGUAAAGCUUCCCCC